rnacentral:rRNA from 1 species
GGGGUCAAAAAAUUAUGGGGCAGGAUUAGCCACGUGUUACUCACCCGUCCGCCACAUCGUUCAAAAUUAAAUCAAGAUGCAAGCACCUUUCAAUAAUCAGAACUCGUUCGACUUGCAUGUAUUAGGCACGCCGCCAGCGUUCAUCCUGAGCCAUGAUCAAACUCACGG